UGGUGUUCUUGGCGGGCAAAUGCGG
rnacentral:piRNA from 1 species